rnacentral:misc_RNA from 1 species
GAAAUACGAUAAGUAGUGUAAAUUACAGAAUUUAGUAAAUUAUUAAAUCUUUAAACGCACAUUACGCCCCUUAGUAUUCUAUAGGGCACGCCUGUUUAAGCGUUAUCUAUACCCUUAAGCUAUACUUAGUGUUGGGCGUCUGUCCCGCCUUUACGCGUAGACUUACCCUAAAUCCAUUAACAGCAGACUCGCCCCCUCCCGCGCAGCACAUUACGCUUCUUAAAAUAUUAUAGCUCGCUUCUAUAAAGCACCCAUUACUGUCUUUAACCUUAGAUUAGGUGUAAAAACCUGCUAAACUUAAGC